rnacentral:rRNA from 1 species
GACGAACCGUGCGAACGUUGUUCGGAAUCACUGGGCUUAAAGGGCGCGUAGGCGGGUGACCAAGUCCGGGGUGAAAUCCUCCAGCUUAACUGGAGAAGUGCCUCGGAUACUGGUUGUCUUGAGGAGGGUAGGGGCAUCUGGAACUAGCGGUGGAGCGGUGAAAUGCGUUGAUAUCGCUAGGAACUCCGGUGGCGAAGGCGAGGUGCUGGACCCUUUCUGACGCUGAGGCGCGAAAGCCAGGGGAGCGAACGGG